rnacentral:tRNA from 1 species
GACCCAAUAGUCAAGUGGUUAAGACAUAACACUUUCACUGUUACAUACUCGGGUUCGAUCCCCGAUUGGGUUA